UGGCGGACGGGUGAGUAAUGUCUGGGAAACUGCCUGAUGGAGGGGGAUAACUACUGGAAACGGUAGCUAAUACCGCAUAACGUCGCAAGACCAAAGAGGGGGACCUUCGGGCCUCUUGCCAUCGGGUGUGCCCAGAUGGGAUUAGCUAGUAGGUGGGGUAACGGCUCACCUAGGCGACGAUCCCUAGCUGGUCUGAGAGGAUGACCAGCCACACUGGAACUGAGACACGGUCCAGACUCCUACGGGAGGCAGCAUG
rnacentral:rRNA from 1 species